AGAACGAACGCUGGCGGCAUGCCUAACACAUGCAAGUCGAACGAGACCUUCGGGUCUAGUGGCGCACGGGUGCGUAACGCGUGGGAAUCUGCCCCUCGGUUCGGAAUAACAGAGAGAAAUUUCUGCUAAUACCGGAUGAUGACUUCGGUCCAAAGAUUUAUCGCCGAGGGAUGAGCCCGCGUAGGAUUAGCUUGUUGGUGGGGUAAUGGCCUACCAAGGCAACGAUCCUUAGCUGGUCUGAGAGGAUGAUCAGCCACACUGGGACUGAGACACGGCCCAGACUCCUACGGGAGGCAGCAGUGGGGAAUAUUGGACAAGUGGGCGAAAGCCUGAUCCAGCAAUGCCGCGUGAGUGAUGAAGGCCUUAGGGUUGUAAAGCUCUUUACCGGAUGAUAAUGACAGUACCGGGAGAAUAAGCUCCGGCUAACUCCGCGCCAGCAGCCGC
rnacentral:rRNA from 1 species